GUGGGGAAUAUUGGACAAUGGGCGCAAGCCUGAUCCAGCCAUGCCGCGUGAGUGAUGAAGGCCCUAGGGUUGUAAAGCUCUUUCACCGGAGAAGAUAAUGACGGUAUCCGGAGAAGAAGCCCCGGCUAACUUCGUGCCAGCAGCCGCGGUAAUACGAAGGGGGCUAGCGUUGUUCGGAAUUACUGGGCGUAAAGCGCACGUAGGCGGACAUUUAAGUCAGGGGUGAAAUCCCGGGGCUCAACUCCGGAACUGCCUUUGAGACUGGGUGUCUGGAGUAUGGAAGAGGUAAGUGGAAUUCCGAGUGUAGAGGUGAAAUUCGUAGAUAUUCGGAGGAACACCAGUGGCGAAGCCGGCUUACUGGUCCAUUACUGACGCUGAGGUGCGAAAGCGUGGGGAGCAAACAGGAUUAGAAACCCUGGUAGUCC
rnacentral:rRNA from 1 species